rnacentral:rRNA from 1 species
UACGAGUGCCCCAAGCGUUAUCCGGAAUUAUUGGGCGUAAAGGGUGUGUAGGUGGUUGUGUUAGUCCUCAGUCAAAUUCUUCGGCUUAACCGGGGUACCGCUGAGGAUACGGCACAACUAGAGGAUGCGAGGGGUCUGUGGAACUCAUGGAGUAGGGGUGAAAUCCGUUGAUAUCAUGGGGAACACCGAAAGCGAAGGCAGCAGGCUGGCGCACUCCUGACACUGAAACACGAAAGCGUGGGUAGCGAAUGGG